rnacentral:rRNA from 1 species
UACAGGGGGUGCAAACGUUGCUCGGAAUUAUUGGGCGUAAAGCGCGCGUAGGCGGUGACUCAAGUCGGAUGUGAAAGCCCUUGGCUUAACCGAGGAAGUGCAUCCGAAACUGAGUCGCUAGAGUACGAUAGAGGGUCGCGGAAUUCCCGGUGUAGAGGUGAAAUUCGUAGAUAUCGGGAGGAACACCGGUGGCGAAGGCGGCGACCUGGGUCGAUACUGACGCUGAGGCGCGAAAGCGUGGGGAGCAAACAGG